UCUUCAAGUCUUGAAAAGAGGUGUUCGCGCCUGUGGCACGAAAAAAAUCUAGAGAAGGAAAAAAAAGAAAUGGGUUUGUAUCCUAAACUACUGAUUCUUUUUAAAGGUAUAUGGUGGUGGAAUUUACUGUGUUCGGUGAAAUGCAUAAUAUAUGAAGGAACACCAGUGGCUAAGGCGGCCACCUGGACUGAUACUGACACUGAUGUGUUAAAGCGUGGGAAGAAAACAGGAUUAGAUACCCUGGUAGUCCACGCCGUAAACGAUGUCUACUAUCGUUGGGAUCCUUGAGAUCUUAGGGGCGCAGCUAACGCUAUAAGUCGACCGCCUGGGGAGUACGGCCUCCAGGUUAAAACUCAAAUGAAUUGACGGGGGCCCGCACAAGCAGUGGAGAAUUGUGGUUUAAUUCGAAACAACGCGUAUAACCUUACCUGGCCUUGAACUUGCUGAGAACUUUUCCAGAGAUGGAUUGGUGCCUUCCGGGAAAUCUUACUCUGGUUGCUUACAUGGCUGUCGUCAACUUGUGUUCUUGAGAUGUUGGGUUUAAGUCACCAUAAACGAAGCGCUAUCCCUUUGUCUCUUAUAUUACCCUCCACCCUUGAAUUGGGCACUUCCAAAGGAGAACGUGGCCUGUUAACUAAUCCGGAAGGAAGGUUGGUGAUAUAACCCUCAA
rnacentral:rRNA from 1 species